AAACAGGCCGAGCGGUUAAGGCGGUAGACUCAAGAGAUUCUCUUGACAGUCUUAGACUGUAAAACAUUCUACUAGGGAAACCUGCGUGCGUUCGAAUCGCGCCCUGUUCA